ACCUCGGUGGUGUAGUGGUAGCACGAUUCCCCGGCAAGGAUGAAACGCGGGUUCGACUUUUGUCUAAGGUC